UACGUAGGGUGCGAGCGUUAAUCGGAAUUACUGGGCGUAAAGCGUGCGCAGGCGGUUUUGUAAGACAGAGGUGAAAUCCCCGGGCUCAACCUGGGAACUGCCUUUGUGACUGCAAGGCUGGAGUGCGGCAGAGGGGGAUGGAAUUCCGCGUGUAGCAGUGAAAUGCGUAGAGAUGUGGAGGAACACCGAUGGCGAAGGCAGCCCCCUGGGCCAAUACUGACACUCAUGCACGAAAGCCAGGGGCGCGAACCGG
rnacentral:rRNA from 1 species